GUGACGCACCGAGCCCGGCCCGCCCCGAGCGGCGCCUGCGCCAAGGCGGGGCCUUUGGGGCCAGAGCGGGGCUUUGGGGUAAUUAAAAGAAGUCCCGGUGAGUGGUCCCGUGUUCCCGUCCUGAGCGUGCAGCUCGGGACUGCAGCAGUUACCCCCACAAACAGCUCAACUGCCCGUGCGUCUCACCCUCAGAAACCACCGCCGCCUCCACAGCACAUACAGUAAGGCGGCAGCUGAAGAGCGACCCAAAAAUAAAAUUUUGAUGAUAAAAUGAUACUUGCCAAAAAUCAUCUGCGCUCUACAGCUCUUCCAGAUUUAUCCUGUGAGAUACCCACAGCCUCGGAGUGGAACAACAGGAGCCAUUUCACAGCUCUAAAUCACUGAAAAGGGCACAUCUCUAAUCAGGACGCCAGAACCAAAGGUGCUGUCUCUCAAAAACAGAGAUCAGAGAGUGUCCUUUGUAUUUUAAAAUGGUGUCAUUAACUGAACACAAAAAGGUAGCUCCACAAAAGGUUAGGAAAUAGGAUGCAAGAAAUGAUAACAGAAACUCCCCUCUGGCAGUGUGGUGACCACAGCGUGGGAUGGGAAAAGGUAGAUCUUCCAUGAUCAUUCCCAAAAAGUUAAUGUAAAUUUGUGUUGUCUGUUUCCAGAAGUUUCGCUCAAAUGGAAACAGUAAUUCACAGCUCUCAGAAAUGCUGGAGUUCAGGGUUUGUAAUGUACAGAUUAGUUUGGAUUUAAAAGUGCAGCCAGUAAAUAAGUUGAACACUUUCUGAAACAUCCACCUUUUUUCAAAGCAGAACUGCAAGAAUAGACACUUCUUCUUGUGGAUCUAAGAAAAAGAUGACAAGAAGUGAGACAACAAUAUAUAAAUAUUUGCCAUCUACAAUCAUAUUUCCAUAUUGCUGAUCUGUAAUAAUCAGGAAGAUAAUUAAAUACACAGAGUUUUCUUUCAAUUUCAA